GUUUAUGAUGAGAAAACGUCCUUAGUGACAAUGCUAUAAACCCAGCUCUUCGAUUCUUUUGUUUUCAAAAGAGUGUGAGAGGAAUCUUUUGUCAAACGCUCUGAUA
rnacentral:snoRNA from 1 species